rnacentral:lncRNA from 1 species
AAUCCACCAAUGGUAAUACAGUGUGUGUGUGUGUGUGUGUGAGAAUCCACCAAUGGUAAUACAGUGUGUGUGUGUGUGUGUGUGUGAGAGAGCGAGAGAGAGAGAGAGCAGUAAGUGUGUAUAUAAGUGUGUGUGUUUAACACUGUUGUGUUUGUCAGGCUAAACUGAGUGACACACAGAAGGAUUUGAGGAGGACACGACCAGAACAGCCUUUAGCAGAGUACCAGAGAGAGCUCACAGAUGUGCUGCAGGAAGUCCGGGAGGAGGUUGAGAGAGAUCACAGGAGGAAACUAGAACAACUGAAGGAGGAACAUCAACAGGAGCUACAGAACCUGAGAGAGACACACCUGGACCAGGAGUCAACUCUACAGGAGUGGAUGGAGAAGCUGGAGAUACAAACCAAAGAACUUCAAACUCAGGAGGCUGAACUUCAGUCAAAGGCAUCAGAUCUGAGGAAGAGGAGACAGCAGCUGUGUGAGGAAGAGGAGGACGCUCAGAGAGGAUUACAGGUGUGUGUGUGUGUCUGGUGUGUGUGUGUGUAUCUGAUGUGUGUGUGUGUGUGUGUGUGUAUCUGAUGUGUGUGUGUGUGUGUCUGGUGUGUGUGUGUUGUGUGUGUGUGUGUGUGUGUAUCUGAUGUGUGUGUGUGUGUGUGCAGUCUCUCUCGCAGCUGCUGAAGGAGCGGGAUGAGCUGCGUGAGGAGCUGCAGAGGAUGAGAGCAGAUCUGCAGAGAGAGAGACAGGAGCGAGAGCGACAGAGAGAGGAGAACAGCAGGAUGAUGGAGGAGCGACGGGAGCUGGAGGCCAGAGUCACGCUUCUGCAGGAGCGAUGUGAGCAGCUGACCUCCAGAGUCAGGUAACACUCAUCAUCACCAAACACACACACACACACGUUUGUUUCUGUGAAUUGUGGGGACUUUUCAUAGACUUCUAUUACUUUUAUACUGAGCAAAUGAUAUUU